AGCUCUUUUAGUGUAUAUUAAAUUUGUUGCAGUUAAAAAGCUCGUAGUUGAUAGUCGGGGGACGGAACUUCUUUAUUGAGGUUUCCUGAACCUAGGUCUGUAUAUUUGCAGACCAGUUACUUUGAGAAAAUUAGAGCGCUUAAAGCAGUCAUUGAAUACGUUAGCAUGGAAUAACAAUAGGACGAGGUUUCUUUUGUGGGAACAUCGUAAUUGAUUAAAAGGGACAGUCGGGGGCAUCAGUAUUCAGGAGCUAGAGGUGAAAUUCUUAGAUUUCCUGAAGACUAACUAGUGCGAAAGCAUUUGCCAAGGAUGUCUUCA
rnacentral:rRNA from 1 species